rnacentral:rRNA from 1 species
UACGGAGGGUGCAAGCGUUAAUCGGAAUUACUGGGCGUAAAGCGCACGUAGGUGGUUUGCUAAGUCAGCUGUGAAAUCCCCGGGCUCAACCUGGGCACUGCAGUUGAAACUGGCAAGCUAGAGUAGGGUAGAGGGGUGUGGAGUUCCAGGUGUAGCGGUGAAAUGCGUAGAUAUCUGGAGGAACAUCAGUGGCGAAGGCGACACCCUGGACUCAUACUGACACUGAGGUGCGAAAGCGUGGGGAGCAACAGG